GCUAGCGUAGCUCAACUGGUAGAGCAUCUGACUUGUAAUCAGAAGGCUGAGAGUUCAAGUCUCUCUGCUAGCU
rnacentral:tRNA from 1 species